rnacentral:rRNA from 1 species
UACGAAGGGGGCUAGCGUUGCUCGGAAUCACUGGGCGUAAAGCGCACGUAGGCGGCUUUCUAAGUCAGGGGUGAAAUCCUGGAGCUCAACUCCAGAACUGCCUUUGAUACUGGAGAGCUUGAGUCCGGGAGAGGUGAGUGGAAACUCCGAGUGUAGAGGUGAAAUUCGUAGAUAUUCGGAAGAACACCAGUGGCGAAGGCGGCUCACUGGCCCGGUACUGACGCUGAGGCGCGAAAGCGUGGGGAGCAAACAGG